rnacentral:rRNA from 1 species
AGAAUCAACGCUGGCGGCGUGCCUAACACAUGCAAGUCGCACGAGAAAGGGACUUCGGUCCUGAGUAAAGUGGCGCACGGGUGAGUAACACGUGAAUCAUCUACCUCCGAGUGGGGAAUAACCUAGAGAAAUCUGGGCUAAUACCGCAUAACACUUACGAGUCAAAGCAGCAAUGCGCUUGGAGAGGAGUUCGCGGCAGAUUAGUUAGUUGGCGGGGUAAUGGCCCACCAAGACGAUGAUCUGUAUCCGGCCUGAGAGGGCGCACGGACACACUGGAACUGAAACACGGUCCAGACUCCUACGGAGGCAGCAGUGGGGAAUUUUGCGCAAUGGGGGAAACCCUGACGCAGCAACGCCGCGUGGAGGAUGGAAAUAUCUUGGUAUGUAAACUCCUUUCGAUGGGGAAGAUAAUGACGGUACCCAUAGAAGAAGCCCCGGCUAACUUCGUGCCAGCAGCCGC